rnacentral:tRNA from 1 species
GCGGAAGUGGCUCAGUGGUAGAGCAUCGCCUUGCCAAGGCGAGGGUCGCGAGUUCGAGUCUCGGCUUCCGCUCCA